rnacentral:rRNA from 1 species
AAGCGGACCUCAUAAAGUGCGUCGUAGUCCGGAUUGGAGUCUGCAACUCGACUCCAUGAAGUCGGAAUCGCUAGUAAUCGUGGAUCAGAAUGCCACGGUGAAUACGUUCCCGGGCCUUGUACACACCGCCCGUCACACCAUGGGAGUGGGUUGCAAAAGAAGUAGGUAGCUUAACCUUCGGGAGGGCGCUUACCACUUUGUGAUUCAUGACUGGGGUGAAGUCGUAACAAGGUAACCGUAGGGGAACCUGCGGUUGGAUCACCUCCUUACCUUAAAGAA